GACGUAACAAUGUCACAGCAUCGCGUCUCGAUUUAAUUGCAAAACGAAUCAAUCCACGAUGUAAAGCACACUAACUGCGAAAUCUCGCAAUCAAUUAAUCAUCGGUAAUACGUAAAUAAACAGAGAACUGCGCGCGACGGCCAUUUUCCUCCUGCUCGAUAGCGGAAGCGACCGUUUUACACAUGGCGAUGUGCGCAUGCGCAAAAGUACAAAUUAAGUCGAGGCGACACCACUGGAGGUCGCCAGACGUCACGGCACGCCACACAGUAUUUGAAUGUUUAAAAUCCAACUCUUUCCCCCCUGAUUCUCUCUUCUCUCCACUCACUCUCUACGUCUAUCUCUCUCUGAUCCCGCACUAACCAAUAAUCAAAGCAAUAAAUAGAGAUCCGGAUAUACUUCCUCCCUGCUGAACCUCAUCUCUCUGCCAGCUAUCCUUAGACGUAACCAUUCCAGCAUCUUUCUACGGAAUCGUUAAGAUUGCCUUGCGAAACACAUAACAACGUUUCCACCAUCAUUUCGUUUGGAAAUGUUACAUGCUGUUUCAAUUAUACCAGACAAAUAUAUUAUGCAUAACCUCAUGGUGCAUGUCCGAACGGCGAAUAUUUUCUACAAAGAAAAAAGCCACUAAAAGAUAUAACGGCGCAUUUCAGUCUGGUAACGUCUGGCGUCGUUGAAACUUUUUUCCUCCCUGCGUUUAGUCAGGAGUGGUAGGCACGACGCCGCGAAUACUCUGGUAAGUUUGGUAAACACGAUACCGAGACAUUUUUUUUUCGUUUUCGAAAGACUCGAAAAUUCGUGCUCGGUGUCUAAAACAGGAAGCCAUGAACAAUCCAUGACAUGGCUUUAUGGUCGUUGAAAAUUAAUGGCAAUCAACAAGAAUAGAAGAUAGUAGGACUAUCGAAGUAGGCUUAACGUGCGACAUUUAUUAGAUACGCCACGAAAAUAAACACCUACUUGAAUGGCUGUCAUUGAAAUUCUUCAAAUUGGAACAGUGUUCAAAAAACAGUUUCUCAUCUCAAACCUGAUCCCGUCGGAGAGCCGUGUGAUCCAGCCAUAUGUAAAGGAUCCGGCGUGACUCUAGUUUAAGAAAUAUCGGAUGAUUCAGUUUCUCAGCAGAACUGACGCACUUCGUGUGCUGCUUGCGAAGCUUUAUUUUAGCGAGCUGCGAAAUAUUUACGAAUUCCAAGCUACAGCCACUCGCUCGCGUCGCGCUAACUCUUUGAGAUAAAGCGAAGAGACCUAAGAAUUUCGAGAAAUGAUUUAAAGGAGAAGGUGGUCGUUGAGGCAUCCACUACGUGAAACACAUGUCGAAUCUUCAUGCCUCACUGUCCAAGGAGAAUGGCGUAAGCACCGUGGCGCCAUUAUGAAAGUGCGACAGCCAUAAAACGAACGUAGUGCUGCUCCUUGGUGCAAUUUGCAGAAAACCAAAUAGCUCGUACCUCUAAGACUCAUUUAUCAACUGUUCUACGAGCCACAGGAGAAAUUCAUCUUCUCUGGGAGACGUUAAUGACUCGGGACUUCGCGUUGUCUGCACAAUGUAAACCCGAUGCCUGAGAACCUCUCAUAAAUCUAAUGCAGCUCGCAGUCACUGCGAUGGAAACGGAAGUAGAAAGAAUCGAUUUGAUAUUCAAUCUGCAUGAUAUUUUUAUACCAAACUAUAACGAAAAUAAAUGUUUCUCUGUUAACUGGGACAAAUCUCGUCUCGAUAUUAACAACCACCAAAACAAUUGUAACGAAUGGAUUUUAAGUAGCGUUGACAAGAUUUACGAUUGUUCGCCGAACGCCCAUAGCUUUCAGGAUUCCGCUGCUAUGGGGGAAAAAAAUGGAUUCAAAAUAUACAGUCUGCAGAGGAAUAACGAGACCUGGGAGGCAGAUAUUUUUGAUGCUAUCAGUAAUCCUGCUGGAAGUCGAUAACGAGACUGGUUAAAAGCAGCCAGAUUCGCCGCGGCAUCGAAAUAUGGAAACACGCGGUGGUGAAAUAGGAUCGAGUUGGAGGAAGAGAAUUGAACUUCAAGCUGCU